CAACAGCGCUCUGAUCGAGUGAAGCUUACAUCGAGAGGUGGCGAGCGACUGCGGGUUUUCAUCCCGAAACCUGAAGAAAAUACAAUUUAAAACGCUCAUGACCAGUAUACUAGCAUCACAACUGAGAUUCUAUUUUUUAACCUUCAAGAAGAAUACGUCAAGUUGACCUAAAGAAGCAAGUAAUCCAGACAGGGAAGCUACCAAGCGAAUGUCCAAGAGACUGCCAGCUAGCUAAUGUAGCUAGCUUGGAUCAGAAGAAUCCUAAACCACGAUCUGGUGUGAAAACAUUGCUAUUUUGUAUCGAUUUAUUCUCUGUGUAGCAACAAAGUAGCCAGCCAGGGAAUACAAUCAGAAAUCAAGCUUGCUGCUGGGCCAUGUUGAAACAACAGCCCAGCUCAUGUGGGCGAAAAACAUCCAACUGGACUCCGGGCCCUGCCAGUAUGUCUUCCACGGCCAGUGGAAUCAACAACAGAGCACAGGUUGGGAGGUGAGUGAAAUUAGGAUGUCCAGAUAGGAAAGGCUGGUGAUUUUUAUCAUGGCUUCAAGGCCUACCGGUCAAAGCAUGUGUAGCUUGUUGUGGUGGGAAAUGGGGUUAUGUUGAUGGGCCUGUGAAAAUAUAUUGUGCGUGAUUGACAAGUUCUUAUGGAAGCUAUUUCAAGGCACCAAGAAGAGAUGUCAUCUAUCAGUUGACAAGAGGUUACUACAUGCCACGCCCACUAUGCCACACCCACUGUGCUGCUAGCACUGUCUCUGGUCCACACUCCAGCGCAGUAGGUGGCGGUAAUGUACCAAUAACGUUGGAUGCCACCCUCCGAAAACCCCUCCGAAGGAGGCUGCUAGCUAGGGGACACCGGUGCACUAUGGGAGAAUCUCAAUUGCCUACUCCUCGCGUCCUCUGUCCUUUCUCCUUGCUUCUUUCUCAAAACCCAUUGGAUGAGGAAGCCAGAGGUCCCUCCUCCCUGACCACCUUCAAUGGGUUUUGAGAAGGUGAGGAGAGACACAAGGAGUGUGAAAUUGAGAUUCCCCCGGUGUAUUUUGCCCCCGCAUCCCAAAAACUGUUUUCUGUUAACAUUACUUAGAGGGAAGUAGCUAGCGAGCAGCCUCAAUGGCAGUGGGCGCUGGAUGUCGUGACAAGUAGUGGGCACGCCAUGUAGUAACCGCGGUCCGCAGAUGGAGUUGUGACAGUACGUCGUUUUUGUGAGACAGUAAGUUGUUAUUGUGAGAUACGUUUAGGCGAUAUGUAUCACAUGAAUUCAAUGUGCACUUUGCAUCAGGCCCGCCUCAACUUCCAAGGAUAAUCUUAUGUAUAGCCUAUAGUCAAUCA
ensembl:lncRNA